GAAAAUGGGAUGGGAAACACAAAAUCUGUGGAAACAAAUUAACUAAAUGUUGAAAAUAUUGAAUCCACAACUAAACAACCUUUGGUAAUUCCAUCUCAAAAUCAAAAUACUGAAACAACUUAGAUGUGUACAAAACGGUUUAAAGGUCUUGUAUAUUCAAAGGAACAUCUAGCACAAAAAAGAGCCACUAUCCCACAACACUAUCAAGAAUCUGACCAGAGGUUAGAUCAUGAAGUUUGUGACGAUUCUUCAAAAAUC
rnacentral:lncRNA from 1 species